GACGAACGCUGGCGGCGUGCCUAAUACAUGCAAGUAGAACGCAGUUGCGAACGGGUGAGUAACGCGUAGGUAACUACCUCAUCGCUGGGGAUAACUAUUGGAAACGAUAGCUAAUACCGCAUACUAUAAGAUGGACCUGCGUUGUAUUAGCUAGUUGGUGAGGUAACGGCUAACCAAGGCGACGAUACAUAGCCGACCUGGGAGGGGUAUGGGCCACACUGGGACUGAGACACGGUCCAGACUCCUACGGGAGGCAGCAGUGGGGAAUAUUGGACAAUGGGCGAAAGCCUGAUCCAGCCAUGCCGCGUGUGUGAAGAAGGUCUUCGGAUUGUAAAGCACUUUAAGUUGGGAGGCGUUACCAACAGAAUAAGCACCGGCUAACUUCGUGCCAGCAGCCGCGGUAAUAC
rnacentral:rRNA from 1 species